CUUUCUUUGCUGGCGACCGGCGCACGGGUGAGUACCACGUAUCCAACCUGCCCUUUACUCGGGGAUAGCCUUUCGAAAGAAAGAUUAAUACCCGAUAGUAUAAUGAUUCCGCAUGGUUUCAUUAUUAAAGGAUUCCGGUAAAGGAUGGGGAUGCGUUCCAUUAGGUUGUUGGUGAGGUAACGGCUCACCAAGCCUUCGAUGGAUAGGGGUUCUGAGAGGAAGGUCCCCCACAUUGGAACUGAGACACGGUCCAA
rnacentral:rRNA from 1 species